rnacentral:rRNA from 1 species
GAUGAACGCUGGCGGCGUGCCUAAUACAUGCAAGUCGAGCGAACGGACGAGAAGCUUGCUUUUCUGAUGUUAGCGGCGGACGGGUGAGUAACACGUGGAUAACCUACCUAUAAGACUGGGAUAACUUCGGGAAACCGGAGCUAAUACCGGAUAAUAUUUUGAACCGCAUGGUUCAAAAGUGAAAGACGGUCUUGCUGUCACUUAUAGAUGGAUCCGCGCUGCAUUAGCUAGUUGGUAAGGUAACGGCUUACCAAGGCAACGAUGCAUAGCCGACCUGAGAGGGUGAUCGGCCACACUGGAACUGCGACCCGGUCCAGACUCCUACGGGAGGCAGCAGUAGGGAAUCUUCCGCAAUGGGCGAAAGCCUGACGGAGCACCGCCGCGUGAGUGAUGAAGGUCUUCGGAUCGUAAAACUCUGUUAUUAGGGAAGAACAUAUGUGUAAGUAACUGUGCACAUCUUGACGGUACCUAAUCAGAAAGCCACGGCUAACUACG